GAUGAACGCUAGCGGCAGGCUUAAUACAUGCAAGUCGUGGGGCAGCAGGUCUGUAGCAAUACAGAUGCUGGCGACCGGCAAACGGGUGCGUAACACGUACGCAACCUUCCCGUUACUGGGGAAUAGCCCAGGGAAACUUGGAUUAAUACCCCAUAUUAUAUUGGUUAGGCAUCUGACUGAUAUCAAAGCUUCGGCGGUAACGGAUGGGCGUGCGGUUGAUUAGGUAGUUGGCGGGGUAACGGCCCACCAAGCCUACGAUCAAUAGCUGAUGUGAGAGCAUGAUCAGCCACACGGGCACUGAGACACGGGCCCGACUCCUACGGGAGGCAGCAGUAAGGAAUAUUGGGCAAUGGACGAAAGUCUGACCCAGCCAUGCCGCGUGAAGGAUGAAGGUCCUCUGGAUUGUAAACUUCUUUUAUCUGGGGCGAAAAUCGGUUAUUCUUAGCCGCUUGACAGUACCAGAUGAAUAAGCACCGGCUAACUCCGUGCCAGCCGCCGCGGUAACAC
rnacentral:rRNA from 1 species